AUAACACUGUUAAACUUCCUCCGGACAUAAUAAUAUUCAAGCUCAUGAAGGUUUAUAUGCGCUUAUCACCUCUCCGCAAAACUGCUUUAAGGGGAGUUUUUUGCUCAGCUUUCCAGGUUGGUGUAUCAACAUGGUGUCUUAACAUGACAGGGCCGAUUUUUGUAUCUAUGUUCAAGCCUUUGGGGAUCGUAGUUGCAGUUGCCACUGGUUUUGGAGUGUAGCAUACUCUUUACUCUCUGGGUUCAGAAAAUCUAGAAAGAAAGCACGGGCUAUCUAGCUUAAUUUUGAGUUUAACUACCAAAAGAUAAUUGUUGUUUAUGUACUCUAAUCGACUGAAAACACGUAUCAAUAACAAAGAGACCCGCAGCAAAGCGCGGGCUAUCUAUCUAGUU